GAUGAACGCUGGCGGCGUGCUUAACACAUGCAAGUCGAACGGAAAGGCCACAGCUUGCUGUGGUACUCGAGUGGCGAACGGGUGAGUAACACGUGGGUGAUCUGCCCUGUACUUCGGGAUAAGCUUUGGAAACUGGGUCUAAUACCGGAUAGGAAUCACAUGUGGGUGUGUGGUUGGAAAGCUUUUGCGGUAUGGGAUGAGCUCGCGGCCUAUCAGCUUGUUGGUGGGGUAAUGGCCUACCAAGGCGUCGACGGGUAGCCGGCCUGAGAGGGUGUACGGCCACAUUGGGACUGAGAUACGGACCAGAGUCCUACGGGAGGCAGCAGUGGGGAAUAUUGCACAAUGGGCGCAAGCCUGAUGCAGCGACGCCGCGUGGGGGAUGACGGCCUUCGGGUUGUAAACUCCUUUCGUCAGGGACGAAGCGAAAGUGACGGUACCUGGAUAAGAAGCACCGGCUAACUACGUG
rnacentral:rRNA from 1 species